CUUGGUCAUUUAGAGGAAGUAAAAGUCGUAACAAGGUUUCCGUAGGUGAACCUGCGGAAGGAUCAUUAUCAAAACAGCGGACUUCGGUCUUUGCUGCACCCUUGUCUUUUGCGCACCGAAUUGUUUCCUCGGCGGGCUUGCCUGCUGGUUGGACAUUAUCAAAACCUUUUUGUAGUUGCAAUCAGCGUCAGAAAAAUCAUAAUUAUUACAACCUUCAACAACGGAUCUCUUGGUUCUGGCAUCGAUGAAGAACGCAGC
rnacentral:rRNA from 1 species